rnacentral:rRNA from 1 species
GGCUCAGGAUGAACGCUAGCUACAGGCUUAAACACAUGCAAGUCGAGGGGAAACGAUAUUGGAAGCUUGCUUCCGAUAGGCGUCGACCGGCGCACGGGUGAGUAACGCGUAUCCAACCUGCCCAUCACUUGGGGAUAACCUUGCGAAAGUAAGACUAAUACCCAAUGACGUCUCUAGAAGACAUCUGAAAGAGAUUAAAGGAUUUAUCGGUGAUGGAUGGGGAUGCGUCUGAUUAGCUUGUUGGCGGGGUAACGGCCCACCAAGGCGACGAUCAGUAGGGGUUCUGAGAGGAAGGUCCCCCACAUUGGAACUGAGACACGGUCCAAACUCCUACGGGAGGCAGCAGUGGGGAAUAUUGGUCAAUGGACGAGAGUCUGAACCAGCCAAGUAGCGUGCAGGAUGACGGCCCUAUGGGUUGUAAACUGCUUUUAUAAGGGAAUAAAGUGAGUCUCGUGAGACUUUUUGCAUGUACCUUAUGAAUAAGGACCGGCUAAUUCCGUG